GUAGGUGCUGCUCUCUAUCAGACGUCACCUAACUGAACUUGUUUGCGCCAAUAAUUUUAAAGAAACCGCGCAUAAUAGCCAAUGAAAUUUAAAUUUUGCGCCCAAUCAGGAGCUCGCGCUGUCAUCUUGAGACAACUACGCAUCAGUUUACGCAUUGCCGUUAGUCUCACACCGGUCUCUAAUGUGCAUGCAUGCCACUGUUGUUUCAAUUGUUUUCAGUACUUAGUUAAGAGUAAUAAUAGAUUUUAAUUAUUCCGAUAUCCCGCUCAAUUACUGAGUAAUAAACGAGGUUUGAGAGUAUUAUGCAGUCGCUUAAUGUCAAGUGGUUGUAAAUUUUUUAUUUCAGCUCUUCCCGUUUAUACUGCUCAGAUGCAACCCGAUGCGGGAUUUUAACUUUAUCUGGCAGUGAAGAAAUAAUUUUGAUGCAAAAUAAAAAUUUUGAUCAACAUGGAAGGAUUCAACAAAACGAGAAGUUGUCUGAUAAAUGUAAUCUCUUGAUUAUAAGCUUCCCAAAUUAUACAGACACAAACUCAUAAAUUUUUCUCUGCUGACUCUAUAAUUGGGUGUUGCCCGGGGGAUUUUCAUAAUAAAUAGAAUAAACAAGGAAAAAGUGAACGAACCGAAGAAAAAUUGAGAAAAUAUUCAAGAAUCGUCAGUAUUAUUAAUGUUUGUUCUUCAAUUGCAUCAUAAAUUUAUCGCGGAGUAAAAACAAGGGUCUGUAAAAAAACUCGGAUAGAAAUCCACAUCACAACACUAAAAAGCGGGACAGAA